AUGAACGCUAGCGGCAGGCUUAAUACAUGCAAGUCGAGGGGCAGCGGGAGUAGCAAUACUUGCCGGCGACCGGCGCACGGGUGCGUAACACGUAUACAAUCUGCCUCCAACAUGGGGAUAGCCCGGAGAAAUUCGGAUUAAUACCCAGUAACAAAUGAUAUGGCAUCAUAUUAUUUUGAAAGCUACGGCGGUUGGAGAUGAGUAUGCGUCUGAUUAGCUAGUUGGUGGUGUAACGGACCACCAAGGCGACGAUCAGUAGGGGAUCUGAGAGGACUACCCCCCACACUGGUACUGAGACACGGACCAGACUCCUACGGGAGGCAGCAGUAAGGAAUAUUGGACAAUGCCCGCAAGGGUGAUCCAGCCAUGCCGCGUGCAGGAAGACGGCCCUAUGGGUUGUAAACUGCUUUUGAACUAGAGAAAACCCCUUUACGUGUAAAGGGCUGAUAGUAUAGUUAGAAUAAGGAUCGGCUAACUUCGU
rnacentral:rRNA from 1 species